rnacentral:rRNA from 1 species
UACGUAGGGUGCGAGCGUUGUCCGGAAUUAUUGGGCGUAAAGGGCUCGUAGGCGGUUUGUCGCGUCGGGAGUGAAAUCAUCUGGCUUAACUGGGUGCUUGCUUUCGAUACGGGCAGACUAGAGGUAUGCAGGGGAGAACGGAAUUCCUGGUGUAGCGGUGAAAUGCGCAGAUAUCAGGAGGAACACCGGUGGCGAAGGCGGUUCUCUGGGCAACAACUGACGCUGAGGAGCGAAAGCGUGGGGAGCGAACAGG